UACGUAGGGUCCGAGCGUUAAUCGGAAUUACUGGGCGUAAAGCGUGCGCAGGCGGUUUUGUAAGCCAGAUGUGAAAGCCCCGGGCUCAACCUGGGAACUGCAUUUGGGACUGCAAGGCUGGAGUACGGCAGAGGGAGGUGGAAUUCCACGUGUAGCAGUGAAAUGCGUAGAGAUGUGGAGGAACACCGAUGGCGAAGGCAGCCCCCUGGGCCAAUACUGACGCUCAUGCACGAAAGCGUGGGGAGCAAACAGG
rnacentral:rRNA from 1 species